UGAACACAGGAGACAGUGAUGGUAGAGGGAGUCGGCUUCCCAAGAGAUCCCAGGCUUCCUUUGUGGAAUGGUCAUUGCUAGCUCAACAGCCAGGUGCCACGUGGACUCCUGGUGAUAGUGUGUGGAUGUGGGACAGAGCCUGUAGACUCUUGUCUAGUUUUGAGGGAAGAGAGCAGAGGAGACCAGUAAGGAAGGGCCUGAGAUACGGCCCAGCUCUGGAGACCCUGGGCUGUAGAGUUAAGAGCUAGGUUUAGGUGCUGAACCCAGGGCUGACUGGCCACAAGCUGGUGGCUUUCUGCCACUGUGUAGAACUCGCUUUUAUCCUCUGUGGCUUUGCUCUCCCUUACGGACCUCAGGCCACUGUUACUCCAGCAUCUGGUUAGCCUGUUGGAAGAUGGCAUUUCUGAGCAGGGGCUGCAGGCUUUCUUCCCUGUAUCUACUCUGCAGCAAGCUCUCUGACUUCCAUUGCCAAUGGGGGCUGGGAGUACCAGGACAGACUGCCAGGAGCAGGGGCUGGAAACACACAGGCCACCAAUGUCAGAGGCAAAUUCAGGAUCACUCUACGUGGGUCACAUUCUUCCAGGAGAGCAAAGAUCAGGAGCUGGGCAAGUUUUUGGAGCUCCUGGGAUGAAGAGGGGGACAGGGAACGCAUGUGUGUGUGCAUGUGUGUAUGUAUAUAUGUGUGCAUGCAUGUGUGUGCAUGCAUGUGUGUAUGUAUGUAUGUGUGCAUGCAUGUGUGUGCAUGUGCAUGUGUGCAUGUGCCUUGUGUUGCAUAAGUGUGCUCUGGUAGCUAGAGCAAUCCAAUUCAAUGUUUUAAGUCUUCCUUUGUGUAAACAGUACAGAGAGGCCACCUCCCCUUGUCACAGUCUCUGUGAUUAUAAAACAUGAAUUUUUGAUAAGUUCAGCUUUCUGGGAAGGCAGGCAAAUUUGGAGCCAAAGGACUGUCUUGGAACAUGUGUGGUGUUAUCUUGGUUCAUAUCAAGUCCAGAGCUGACUGAAGGCCUCAGCAUCUCUCAGCUCUGUGGGAAGGGCCAAGUGAGUCCUGGGGUCCCUGCUCAGUGCUGUUGUGAAGUUGCGCGGCAGCGGUCUUCUGAAAGACGAUUCUGUGUUAUCAUUGUUACUUCAUGGUUUUUUAAAAAAAUGUAUCUGCUCUAUGUUUGGAAAUAAAAAGCUCUAUUUUGGUCUAUGA
rnacentral:lncRNA from 1 species